CAAUAGAGUAUAUUAAAGUUGUUGCAGUUAAAAAGCUCGUAGUUGGAUUUCUGGUGGGAGCGAUCGGUCUGGCGCUUAGCGCGAGUACUUGCAUCGUCUCCGGCCAUCCUUGGGGAAAGUCUGUCUGGCAUUAAGUUGUCGGGCAGAGGAUCCUCAUCGUUUACUGUGAAAAAAUUAGAGUGUUCAAAGCAGGCUUAUGCCGUUGAAUAUAUUAGCAUGGAAUAAUAAGAUAGGACUUUGGUACUAUUUUGUUGGUUUGCGCACCAAAGUAAUGAUUAAUAGGGACAGUUGGGGGUAUUCGUAUUCCGUUGUCAGAGGUGAAAUUCUUGGAUUUACGGAAGACGAACUACUGCGAAAGCAUUUACCAAGGAUGUUUUCAUUAA
rnacentral:rRNA from 1 species